CGUGCCUGCUUGGCUGCGCGCAAAGCAAGAGGAAGCCGACCGCGGCUCACUCCGGGUUUCCUCCCGCCUAAAGGGAACUGCCUUCCAGUCCCCGCAGGCACUCAGUGAAAAGGAAAAAGACUGAGCUGGAUUGAGGAAGCUCGGCUCGUCAGCCGUGGCCGAGCCCCCUUCCCCGCCCCGUCGACCUGACCCAGCCCCAGAAACAAGGCACCCAAGGCCGCACAGCUGUUCGCCUGCAAGCCGGCAAAUGAACAAAGCCAAGCCGAGGGCUGCCAAGUACAUCUGCCUCGACUUUCUACGACGGGAAGAUCCCGGCAAGCCUGAAUCAUGUACAACUGCGCGUGCACUCGGUGGUUUUCCACGCCUCGGCUGCGUGAACACCACCCUCGGCCAAACUGGACACGCAGGUCCCGCGUGCUCACCAGCGCAGCAGCAAAAAUAAGCUGCACACACGCGGCGCGCCGUCUGGAAGCCCCGUCGGAAGGACAAAAAAGGAGACGGGAGCAUUACGAAGCUGACACGGAUCUGCGCGCGACGCCGCGAGGGGUAAAGGAGGACACUCGAGCACGAGCGCGCGCGCGCCCUAAAGCCUCGCGCGCGGCCUCCCGGAGCCGACUCCCGCUCAAGUCCGAGAGCUAGCGGCCUGUCGGGAUCACCCCACAGCCUCACCUCCAGCCUCAGCCAAUCGGCUCUUGUCCUGCCUGUCAUACUCCGUCCUCAUAUGCUAAUAAGCAAGGCUCGGCGAGGCCCAAUCAGAAACAACGCUCUCAUUCUCUUUCUGCUCCAGCGCCCGUGGCAACAAAGGAGUGGCAGCUGAAAGAGCAGCAUGAGGGUCUCGUGGCGGGGAGGGGAAGGGAAUGGUAGCUGAGUGUGUUGCCCUGGCAACCUAUAAACCACAAUAAGCCAAGGCACCGGGACAUAAUGGGCCCUUAUUUCCCGCACACUCUUACCGCGCUUCCUCUGUAAGAAAGGAACGGGAAUAAACCUCUUAUAUUACUUACA